rnacentral:scRNA from 1 species
ACCACCGCCCCCAUCACCUGGACCGGCGUCAA